rnacentral:rRNA from 1 species
UAACACGUGGGUGAUCUGCCUCGCACUCUGGGAUAAGCCUGGGAAACUGGGUCUAAUACCGGAUAUGACCAUUGAUCGCAUGGUUGGUGGUGGAAAGAUUUAUCGGUGCGAGAUGGGCCCGCGGCCUAUCAGCUUGUUGGUGGGGUAAUGGCCUACCAAGGCGACGACGGGUAGCCGACCUGAGAGGGUGACCGGCCACACUGGGACUGAGACACGGCCCAGACUCCUACGGGAGGCAGCAGUGGGGAAUAUUGCACAAUGGGCGGAAGCCUGAUGCAGCGACGCCGCGUGAGGGAUGACGGCCUUCGGGUUGUAAACCUCUUUCGACAGGGACGAAGCGCAAGUGACGGUACCUGUAGAAGAAGCACCGGCCAACUACGUGCCAGCAGCCGCGGUAAUACGUAGGGUGCGAGCGUUGUCCGGAAUUACUGGGCGUAAAGAGCUUGUAGGCGGUUCGUCGCGUCGAUUGUGAAAACUUGCAGCUCAACUGCAAGCUUGCAGUCGAUACGGGCGGACUAGAGUACUUCAG